rnacentral:rRNA from 1 species
UACGUAGGGUGCAAGCGUUGUCCGGAAUUAUUGGGCGUAAAGAGCUCGUAGGCGGUCUGUCGCGUCGGCUGUGAAAACUCGGGGCUCAACCCCGAGCCUGCAGUCGAUACGGGCAGACUAGAGUGCGGUAGGGGGAGACUGGAAUUCCGUGGUGUAGCGGUGAAAUGCGCAGAUAUCAGGAGGAACACCAGUGGCGAAGGCGACUACCUGGCCUGUUCUUGACGCUGAGGCGCGAAAGCUAGGGGAGCAAACGGG